GACAGAGGAUGCAAGCGUUAUCCAGAAUGAUUGGGCGUAAAGCGUCUGUAGGUGGCUUUUAAGUCCGCCGUCAAAUCCCAGGGCUCAACCCUGGACAGGCGGUGGAAACUACCAAGCUGGAGUACGGUAGGGGCAGAGGGAAUUUCCGGUGGAGCGGUGAAAUGCGUAGAGAUCGGAAAGAACACCACGGCGAAAGCACUCUGCGUGGCCGACACUGACACUGGAGAGACGAAAGCUAGGGGAGCGAAUGGG
rnacentral:rRNA from 1 species